rnacentral:tRNA from 1 species
GUUUUUCGAGGUUUUGAAAGCCUUAUUAGGAGAAGUAUUUCUCCACUCCUUAUCAAG